UGGGGAAUAUUGCACAAUGGGCGAAAGCCUGAUGCAGCAACGCCGCGUGAGUGAUGAAGGCCUUCGGGUUGUAAAGCUCUGUCUUUUGGGACGAUAAUGACGGUACCAAAGGAGGAAGCCACGGCUAACUACGUGCCAGCAGCCGCGGUAAUACGUAGGUGGCAAGCGUUGUCCGGAUUUACUGGGCGUAAAGGAUGCGUAGGCGGAUUUUUAAGUGAGAUGUGAAAUACCCGGGCUUAACUUGGGUGCUGCAUUUCAAACUGGGAGUCUAGAGUGCGGGAGAGGAGAAUGGAAUUCCUAGUGUAGCGGUGAAAUGCGUAGAGAUUAGGAAGAACACCAGUGGCGAAGGCGAUUCUCUGGACCGUAACUGACGCUGAGGCAUGAAAGCGUGGGUAGCAAACAGGAUUAGAUACCCUGGUAGUCCACGCCGUAAACGAUGAGUACUAGGUGUAGGAGGUAUCGACCCCUUCUGUGCCGCAGUUAACACAAUAAGUACUCCGCCUGGGAAGUACGAUCGCAAGAUU
rnacentral:rRNA from 1 species